rnacentral:rRNA from 1 species
GCUUCAAUCCCUGUUUAUUAUAUGUCUAACAUUCUUUUUCCUAAGAAAUUCCUGUCAAAGCUUAAUGCUAUCAUUAGAAAUUUUUGGUGGACAGGGAUAAAAGAAGAAACCAGUGCUAAAUCUCUUUGCCUUAGAGCCUGGAAGGACAUAUGUUCCCCUAAGAAUGAAGGUGGAUUAGGUAUCAAGAACAUGCAAGCCACUAACAGAGCUAUGAUU